rnacentral:rRNA from 1 species
UACGUAGGGCGCAAGCGUUGUCCGGAAUUACUGGGCGUAAAGGGCGCGCAGGCGGCCUCUUGAAUUCAGAUGUGAAAGCCCCGGGCUCAACCUGGGAAUGGCAUUUGAUACUCGAGGGCUUGAGUACGGGAGAGGAGAGUGGAAUUCCCAGUGUAGAGGUGAAAUUCGUAGAUAUUGGGAAGAACACCGGUGGCGAAGGCGGCUCUCUGGACCGUAACUGACGCUGAGGCGCGAAAGCGUGGGGAGCAAACAGG